rnacentral:piRNA from 1 species
GUAGGGUCGUGUCCCCUUAUUCGGGCA